GAUGAACGCUGGCGGCGUGCCUAACACAUGCAAGUCGAGCGAACAGACGAGGAGCUUGCUCCUCUGACGUUAGCGGCGGACGGGUGAGUAACACGUGGAUAACCUACCUCUAUGACUGGGAUAACUUCGGGAAACCGGAGAUAAUACCGGAGAAUAUAUUGAACCGCAUGGUUCAAUAGUGAAUGACGGCUUUGCUGUCUCUUAUAGAUGGUUCCGCGCCGCAUUAGCUAGUUGGUAAGGUAACGGCUUACCAAGGCAACGAUGCGUAGCCGACCUGAGAGGGUGAUCGGCCACACUGGAACUGAGACACGGUCCAGACUCCUACGGGAGGCAGCAGUAGGGAAUCUUCCGCAAUGGGCGAAAGCCUGACGGAGCAACGCCGCGUGAGUGAUGAAGGUCUUCGGAUCGUAAAACUCUGUUAUUGGGGAAGAACAAAUGUGUAAUUAACCAUGCACGUCUUGACGGUACCUAAUCAGGAAGCCACGGCUAACUACGUG
rnacentral:rRNA from 1 species